rnacentral:lncRNA from 1 species
CGAAUAAUAUAUCUGCUCCGGUAUCAUGGAAAUAAAUUGGUGGAGUUUUGACCUUGUACCAAGGUGUCUGUCCUGCUCCGCCUAUCAAUAUUUCCGUUUGUUUUACUCCUUUUGAUAAGAGUAAAAUCUUCUUGGAGAAAUCCCUUCCUGCAAUUCGAGGUAGAUCUUCUUCCACUUCUGUUGGAAAGACUCCUCGUUUUGCUGUACAGAUUCCUGCUCCUGA